rnacentral:lncRNA from 1 species
UGUUCUGGGUAUUAAUGAUUGUUGAACCAAUAACCAUUAAGCUGGAGCUUAUUGUUAUAUAGUCUAAUGGGCCUUUUAAUUAUUUCAUUAUAUGCCAUGUCCCAAGCUGUUAGUGUACCAUGCAACAGAACCUUCCACUGCCUUUCUGGUAAGUAGUCAGUGCGACACCGUGUGCCACUAUGAUUAGUGACUCUUUCUGUUAGAAACAGAAUGAAGUACUGUUCUCCUCCUUGUGAACACCAAAACUUUUUCUUAACUAUUUUCUUUUUUGACUAUGCUAUUUUUCAGGCCACAGAUAAAGGAAACGUCUUGGUCUCAACUACUCUGAAUGUGAGGGGCCUUGAUAGGCAUAUUGAAGACGUCACUUAAAAGAGUAAUGGAGCCUAUGUGAGCUGCUCUGCAGAACCGGAGAGCAGAUGCAGCCUCAGUCUCGACAGAGCUCCUUUCCCAACAUCGCAGCCAGCAUUGCAUGGUGUUUUUGACAGAAAACUCGAAACUAGAAUACUAAUAAUGGAAGUAGCUGGAGGCAGAAGAAAAUAUGGGAUGUGCAAACAUAAAAAGAAAUAGAAAACCUCAAAUAACAAAGGCGCUAUUCUUCGCCCAGACUAAUCCAAGGCUCCAGAUUACUUUUAAGACCAAUGCUUAUUUUACCUCUGCAAUGAAAAUCAAACCAUUGGGAGCUAAUCAACUGAUUCCUUAG